UACGGUUGAGGAAUUCAGAAAAGAGCC
rnacentral:piRNA from 1 species